CUAGAAGAGGUAAGUGGAAUUCCAUGUGUAGCGGUAAAAUGCUUAGAUAUAUGGAGGAACACCAGUGGCGAAGGCGGCUUACUGGUCUAGCAUUGACGCUGAGGCACGAAAGCGUAGGUAGCAAACAGGAUUAGAUACCCUGGUAGUCUACGCUGUAAACGAUGAGCACUAAGUGUCGGACGUAAGUUCGGUGCUGUAGUUAACGCAUUAAGUGCUCCGCCUGGGGAGUACGGUCGCAAGACUGAAACUCAAAGGAAUUGACGGGGACUCGCACAAGCGGUGGAGCAUGUGGUUUAAUUCGACGCAACGCGAAAAACCUUACCAGGCCUUGACAUCCCUAUGACCGCUCUAGAGAUAGAGUUUCCUCUUCGGAGGUAUAGGUGACAGGUGGUGCAUGGUUGUCGUCAGCUCGUGUCGUGAGAUGUUGGGUUAAGUCCCGCAACGAGCGCAACCCUUAUCAUUAGUUGCUAACAUUAAGUUGAGCACUCUAAUGAGACUGCCAGCGACAAGUUGGAGGAAGGUGGGGAUGACGUCAAAUCAUCAUGCCCCUUAUGGCCUGGGCUACACACGUGCUACAAUGGCCGGUACAAAGAGCAGCGAAAUUGUGAAAUGGAGCAAAUCUCAAAAAGCCGGUCUCAGUUCGGAUUGUAGUCUGCAACUCGACUACAUGAAGUUGGAAUCGCUAGUAAUCGUGGAUCAGCAUGCCACGGUGAAUACGUUCUCGAGUCUUGUACACACCGCCCGUCACACCAUGAGAGUUUGUAAUACCCGAAGCCGGUGGCUUAACCGCAAGGAGAGAGCCGUCUAAGGUAGGACAGAUGAUUGGGGUGAAGUCGUAACAAGGUAUCCCUACGAGAACGUGGGGAUG
rnacentral:rRNA from 1 species